GAGUUUGAUCCUGGCUCAGGACGAACGCUGGCGGCGCGCCUAACACAUGCAAGUCGAACGGAGCUGAGAGGAGCUUGCUUUUCUUAGCUUAGUGGCGAACGGGUGAGUAACGCGUGAGUAACCUGCCCUGGAGUGGGGGACAACAGUUGGAAACGACUGCUAAUACCGCAUAAGCCCACGAUCCGGCAUCGGAUUGAGGGAAAAGGAUUUAUUCGCUUCAGGAUGGACUCGCGUCCAAUUAGCUAGUUGGUGAGGUAACGGCCCACCAAGGCGACGAUUGGUAGCCGGACUGAGAGGUUGAACGGCCACAUUGGAACUGAGACACGGUCCAAACUCCUACGGGAGGCAGCAGUGGGGAAUAUUGCACAAUGGGGGAAACCCUGAUGCAGCAACGCCGCGUGAGUGAAGAAGUAUUUCGGUAUGUAAAGCUCUAUCAGCAGGGAAGAUAAUGACGGUACCUGACUAAGAAGCUCCGGCUAAAUACGUGCCAGCAGCCGCGGUAAUAC
rnacentral:rRNA from 1 species